GACCCCGCGCAAUAGGUCUGGAGGACUGCUUGUCUAGGUGCCUAGGUAGAGGGAACCAAUGAAUUUUAGCAAAAGACCUUGAGUUGGCGCGGGCGGAGCUCGUAAACUGUGGGAUUGGCUGCUGUGAGUCCACCAAAUUCUCUCAGGGAGGUGAUACUUUCAGCUGUUAUGGGCUAACUGGGAAGAAAACCUGAGAGACUGAGAUCUUGCUGAAAUGGGAUACCAAAUAGAAAGAGGAAAAGAAAGCAAGUGAGACAGGUUUUCAAGAUGGCGAUGUAGAGGCAGCAAAAGUUCAGACCUCUGAAAAUCCCUGCUUGCCAAUUAUAAACUAAAUGCUCCUAGGGGACUGAAAAUCAAACCAAACAACAAGACAGAGCCAAGGAACCCUCCUGCUAGACUCAACUUAAAAGGAUUUGUGGCAGGAUAGGGUGCUAGUAUUCCCUUGCCCAAAAGAAGAGGAUAUGACCUUCCAGAAAAAAUAACACUAUACGUGUAGUAAUGUCUACAUACCAUAUCCAGGACAAAAGUUUAUAUAUUAAUUACUGCUCUUUGACAACGAAGAGGUGGCUGGUGGCAGCUUGCUGAGUGUUUCGGCAUCUUGGCGUGGCGGCAGCUAUUGUCUGCUAAAAGCAGUGAGUUUCUUUUGAUACCAUACUGGAGGAAGCUUAGUAACCUAGUUUGGUGAGGCUCUUCUCUGAGAUCUCUUGGAGUUUAGGUUGACUUUUCUCUCCUUUAACUUCCAAACACUAUCCUCUUAGAGAAAGCCUCGAAUCUUCAAGGACCUCGUGGUUGAGGACUUUGAAUUCGCCUGGCACAGGCCAGGCAGGAGAAAUCCUAUACCUUUUCCCUCUGUCUUCUCCUUGAUUUCUUCCCUAUAUAUUGAUUAAAUCACCAUAUAGUUCCAAA